GUCUCUUUGUAAUUUAUAAAUAAAGAGUCGGGCCUGCUCGGUGAAUAAAUUGUUUUAACAGCUGCGGUAUUUUAACUGUACUAAGGUAGCAUAAUAAUUUGCCUUAUAAUUUGAGGCUAGAAUGAAUGGUUUGACGAAGGUUAAUCUGUCUCUAUCCUAUUUGGUAGAAUUUAAUUUUUAAAGUGAAAAAGCUUAAAUUUUUUAAAGGGACGAGAAGACCCUAUUGAGCUUAUAAUUUUAUUAUUAUUUUGUUCUUUAUGUAUAAUAUAAUAUAUAAAUUUUAAUUGGGGUGAUUAAGGAAUAAGUAAUAUUAUUAAGUAACUUCCUUAGUUUAGAUAUUGUUAAAUAAAGUAACCAAUAUUAUUGCUUAUAAUAUAGUUACCAUAGGGAUAACAGCGUAAUUUAUUUAGAGAGUUCUUAUUGAAAAAUAAGAUUGCGACCUCGAUGUUGGAUUAAAGUAACCUUAAGGUGCAGAAGCUUUAGAAGGUAAAUCUGUUCGAUUUUUAAAACUUUACA
rnacentral:rRNA from 2 species